UACGAGGGGUGCAAGCGUUAUUCGGAAUCAUUGGGCGUAAAGGGUGCGUAGACGGCAUGUUAAGUCAACUGUUAAAUUCCCCGGCCUAACUGGGGGCAAGCAGUAGAUACUGGCGUGCUAGAGGAUGGAAGAGAGAAGCGGAAUUCUCGGAGUAGCGGUAAAAUGCGUAGAUCUCGAGAGGAACACCGAUGGCGAAGGCAGCUUCUUGGUCCAUUCCUGACGUUGAGGCACGAAAGCGUGGGGAGCAAACAGG
rnacentral:rRNA from 1 species